rnacentral:rRNA from 1 species
GGUGAGCUGGGCUUUGGAGGUCUGACAGAAGAGAGUGAGCACACGCGGUGGUUUCCUAGCAUGCGAGCGCCAUGCUGGGAGCUGCGCGUGCUCACCCUCUCUCUGUCAGCCAUUCACCAUCCCCAUCUCUCUUCUAUCUGCUGCCAAUCAAUCGACGAACAACCAAAGAGGGCACUGAGAUCCAUGGUCAGUAAAUUUCUUUCCCGGAUCUCAUGUUUCAUUGCUACUAGUAUAUGCUUGUUAUGUUUGCAGCACAAUACUACUGCACCUUGA